ACUUUAAUAGCUUAUAAAGAGCGUGGUGUUGAAGCCAUCAAGGAAGGGGCUCCCUUUAAAGUG
rnacentral:tRNA from 1 species